GUUUUGUAAGAAGGUUUGCGUAAAGCAGUUGGAAGUUAUAUUGUAUAGUUGCGCAAAGGCAACUUGGAUUUAGAUAAGGAUUUGUUUAAAUGCAGACACUACGCCAUCUACUCCGCUAUAUACGAGUGUAUUGGUACGAGCCGUUUCCGUGAACGCUGAGAAUAUUUCGAAAGAAGUCAAAAGACGGAACCAAAAGCGCAAGAACGAAGUGGAGCCAUAGCAUUCCCAGACUAGGAUUUAUUCUUAGUCGAUGUAAAUACUAACUUAUGUGAGCUGUAGCAUAAAAAGUCCCUUAAUAUUGAAUGCUUGUUUAAAAUCGAAUGUUUAUGUGAUGGCACACGGUGUUUGGUGUGGUGUGGGGAAGUGUAUGGAGAUCGAAAGAUUAAUUUGAAGUCCACCUUUGUACACGUUAGUAAUGUAACGUGGUUGGGAAUCUUGGGUUUUAUUCCUCUAUGUGUGUGUGUGUGAGUAAACAACCUGCAUAAGAACGGUGCGCGCAGGUCAGA